rnacentral:rRNA from 1 species
GCUUACGGCCACACCCUCCUGAGCACGCCCGAUCUCGUCUGAUCUCGGAAGCUAAGGCAGGGUCGGGCCCGGUUAGUACUUGGAUGGGAGACCGCCUGGGAAUACCAGGUGCUGUAAGCC